rnacentral:rRNA from 1 species
AUUGAACGCUGGCGGCAGGCUUAACACAUGCAAGUCGAGCGGGGUGAUGGUGCUUGCACUAUCACUUAGCGGCGGACGGGUGAGUAAUGCUUAGGAAUCUGCCUAUUAGUGGGGGACAACAUCUCGAAAGGGAUGCUAAUACCGCAUACGUCCUACGGGAGAAAGCAGGGGAUCACUUGUGACCUUGCGCUAAUAGAUGAGCCUAAGUCGGAUUAGCUAGUUGGUGGGGUAAAGGCCUACCAAGGCGACGGUCUGUAGCGGGUCUGAGAGGAUGAACCGCCACACUGGGACUGAGACACGGCCCAGACUCCUACGGGAGGCAGCAGUGGGGAAUAUUGGAAAAUGGGGGGAACCCUGAUCCAGCCAUGCCGCGUGUGUGAAGAAGGCCUUAUGGUUGUAAAGCACUUUAAGCGAGGAGGAGGCUCUUUUGGUUAAUACCCAAGAUGAGUGGACGUUACUCGCAGAAUAAGCACCGGCUAACUCUGUGCCAGCCGCCGCCGUAA